rnacentral:rRNA from 1 species
UACGAAGGGGGCUAGCGUUGCUCGGAAUCACUGGGCGUAAAGGGUGCGUAGGCGGGUUUUUAAGUCAGAGGUGAAAUCCUGGAGCUCAACUCCAGAACUGCCUUUGAUACUGGGAAUCUUGAGUAUGGAAGAGGUGAGUGGAACUGCGAGUGUAGAGGUGAAAUUCGUAGAUAUUCGCAAGAACACCAGUGGCGAAGGCGGCUCACUGGCCCGGUACUGACGCUGAGGUGCGAAGGCGUGGGGAGCAAACAGG